rnacentral:rRNA from 1 species
AGAGUUUGAUCCUGGCUCAGGACGAACGCUGGCGGCGCGCUUAACACAUGCAAGUCGAGCGAGAACCAGGGCUUCGGCCCUGGGGACAGCGGCGAACGGGUGAGUAACACGUGGGUAAUCAACCCCCGACAUCGGGAUAGCCCGGGGAAACCCGGAUUAAUACCGAAUGUCCCGUCCGGCUCUCGGGCCGGCCGGAGAAGGUAGCUUCGGCCUCCGGUCGGGGACGAGCCCGCGGCGGAUUAGCUUGUUGGUGGGGUAACGGCCCACCAAGGCGACGAUCCGUAGCUGGUCUGAGAGGACGAUCAGCCACACUGGGACUGAGAGACGGCCCAGACUCCUACGGGAGGCAGCAGUGGGGAAUCUUGCGCAAUGGUCGGAAGACUGACGCAGCGACGCCGCGUGUGGGAGGACGCCUUUCGGGGUGUAAACCACUGUUGCCCGGGACGAACUGGCGGUUUCGACCGCCCUGACGGUACCGGGUGAGGAAGCACCGGCUAACUCCGUGCCAGCAGCCGCGGUAAUACGUAGGGGGCAAGCGUUGUCCGGAUUUAUUGGGCGUAAAGAGCGUGUAGGCGGCUGGAUAGGUCCGUUGUGAAAACUCGAGGCUCAACCUCGAGACGUCGAUGGAAACCCUCCAGCUAGAGUCCGGAAGAGGAGAGUGGAAUUCCUGGUGUAGCGGUGAAAUGCGCAGAUAUCACGAAGAACACCCGUGGCGAACGCGGCUCUCUGGGACGUGACUGACGCUGAGACGCG